CCACUUUGAAAUUCUAGCAAUUUUUUAAUUUACGUUCAUUGCUCCACCGAAAAACAUUUUUCCGCUCCACACAAAUUUACGUUCGUUCACCUAAAAGCAUCACUAUCAUCCCUCCACUGAAAAGCAUUCUUUCACUCCACAUUUAUUCCAUUCGUUCGCUCCAUAAUCUCCAAUCGGUUGAAGAAAGCAUUAUGUGAACGGUUGAAGAAGGUUUCAAUCGGUUGAAGAACAAGUUCCUAUUUGUUUAAAUGCUAUGUCUUAUUCAUGUGCCUCAUCUUCUUCUUCAGGAAAAUUUGUUCCUCCGCAAAUAAAACCUAAAAAAAAAAAAUAUUCAAAUAGUUGCAAAAAUGUGAUUGAGGCAUCAUUACAAUUCUAAAAUUUAAAUUCAAAUUCUAAUUAAAAAUACAUAUUAUGUAUUAUUUAAUAAAUUAUUUAAAAAAAAUUUUAAAAAUUGAAAAUGUCUUAUUUGACAUUAUUUUAGGGGAAACGUCUCAACUUUAAAUUCAAAUUGUUAUUAAAAAUAUAUAUUAAGUAAUUUUAAUAAAUUGUUUAAAAUAUAAACAUGCUGAAAAUCUUGUAUAUAUAUUUCAUUAUUAUAAGGAAGGUUGUUGCAAUCUUGUUCAGCAACAAAAUAACAGAUUUAGUUAACAUUUACCAAAUUUGAAUGUUUGCAAAAUACACUGUCUUCAUGCUCUUUCCAAUAUCUUGUCUUAUUUUUUUGAGUUAUUCAAAUACAUUGUGUUUGAAAUAUAUAGAUUAUUAUAUACCCCGGUGAAUGAUACUAUAUCUUAUGACAAUUUUUUUUACCUUUUUAUGUGUGUCCCAAAUUUGUCAUCAUUCAUACUUGACAUAUACUAUGUUUGAGAAAUCUUUAUUCUUAUUGUUUGUUUUGUAACAAACCUAUCUUAAUGUUCGGUUUUUUGGAUUGAAAAAGUAUAUGAUUAUAUGAAGAAAAAAAAAUAUUAAUAUUUGAAUAUGUGAUCAUGAUAUAGAACGAAUAGUUUAUCACAUUAUUUAAAAGCAUAAAUUUCAAUAUAAUUGUGUCAGCAAUAUAUGUUAUAUAGUCUGUCAAAUAUUGUGGAACUAAUCUGAAAAGAGUAAUAUUGUCAUGUAGUAUGUAUAAAUACAUUAUAACUCUAUAGAAAAUCAACACAACCAAACAGGGCUAAUUUAACCAAUAAUUUGAUCUUGUUAAAUUAAGAAAUAAAAAAAUAAAAAAACAAAACAAAUGGAACAAAUUAAAUAUAUUCACAAAUGGAAGAUAUUCUUGAAUUUUUUAAAUUUGUGGAGUUGAAGAUGAAUAGAAAGUCUGAAGAACUAGGAAACAAAUUGUACAUAAUUUUUUAAGAAAUCAAGAGUAAGUGCAACCUAGUUUUUCGGGUGCACAAGAGACUAACAAAUAUAUGAUAAGCAUGUGAUAUAAACUGAUAUUUUCUUUUAUGAUUUUGUGUACAUGUAACUGGAUGUUAAAAUAAAUUGUAUUUGGAAUGCAGGGAACAAGAGACUUUGAGGAGCACCUUGACAGAGUAGAAGAGGACAAAGAAGAAGAGAAGGAACAAAAGGAUCAAGAUGACGAACUGAACUUGGAAUCAAGCCAUCUAAAAGUGCUUAGGAAAAAGAUGACGAUCUUGACGACGAAGGAAAGGGAAACACAGCUGAAAAUAGGAAUCAAACUUUUGGAGGGUCGGAUGGUGGAUAAACGUAACUAAAUUAAGCACAUUAGAAACAAUACCUACCAUUCAAGGACAAGAGGGAGAUGACUCACAAUAUAAGGAAAAGAAAUAAAGAACCCAAUAUAAACAACAUGUUCAUAAUGUUUAGAAUACAUCUUAAGUAACUAACAUGUAUACAAAAUUGUAAUGGGGGCACAGAGGAUACUAAGGAAGAAAUCAACAUGUUGAUAAGGUCAAUCGACGAAAAAGUUAUAUAUGAUGAAAUGAAGAAAAAAGAAGAUUAGAUGAAAAUGGUAUAGUACUGUAUGUUUGGCAUAUGUUUGUUAUAAUGAACGACUAUUAAAUUUAAGAAUUGUGGAUCCAAUUAUAGUGUAUUUGUAACUCUGCCUGCGUAAAUUAGGUUAAUUAUGUUGUCAUCAAUGAGAUGUAUAUAUUUUUGUUAUGAACAAAUUGGACCUAUUUGUUAUCAUCGAUGACUUGUAACUUUUAAGAACUGUGUAUUUGAAUUCUAGAAAAUUUAUGGUUUGAGUACUUUAUUGAUCAGAUAAGUAAUGUGUAUGUAAAUUAUAUAGUAUUUGACGUACUGAACUUACUUAUGUGAAUUUCAAUUACGAUAAAAUUUUAAAUUCAAAGUGUUAUUAACAAUAUGUAUUUUUGAAGGUAUUUAAAUUCAAAAUUUUCUAUAAAUAUUUUGAAAUAUAAAUAAUUUGAAAAUAUUACGAAAAUGUUGAAUUUAUGUUUGUCAUUAUUUUAGGAAUAUGAUGUAAUAUUUGAAGUCAAGAUAUUAUAAAAUAACAAGGUUGAAAUUUUGUUAGCCAUUUCCAUACGUGCUAUUGUAUAUUAUCUUAUAAUUUUUUUAAAAUAAUUUAAAAUAUACAUAAUAUGAAAGUGUUGAAUUAAUGUCUACCACUAUUUUAGAGAUAAUGGUACUAUUUGAAUUUAAAAUAUUAAAAAAUAUAAUGAAUCAUGAAUAGUUAAAAACAUGUAUUAUCUACCUAAAUGGAUAUUAACGGAUAAAAAAAAGUUAAAUUUUGGAAUCACAAGUUUUAAGAAAAAUCUUAAUAUUUUUUCGAUUGGUUAUUUUUUAGUUUAUUACGAUAAAAUUUGUUAUUCUCAUUAUUAUCUUAAAAUUUUAUUUUCGCAAAAUGCUUCUCAAUUAUAAAAAUCCCACAAUCUGAUAGACAAUAAAAAAUAAAAGUGAAAUUAUGAAAAAAGAAUAAAAGAUACCCACAGUUGAAUUAAAACGUCCAACAAAAAAAAUAUAAAUAGCAAAAUGUUUUUGAAUUAUAAAAAUUGCACAAUCGGAUAGAAAAUAAAAAAUAAAACUGUGAAAUUAUAUAAAAAAAAAUACCCUCACUUGAAUUUACAAGUCCAACAAUUUAUAGAGUUUUAAACCAUUAAAAAACACCAAAAUAUUCUAUAACUAAAUUAAAUACCACUAAAUUUAGAGAGUUUUGUUAUUCUCAUAAAUAUUCCAUUUAUCUAGGAAUAUUUCUUUUUCUAAGUUUGUGUUCAUAAAUAGUUAUGGAUCCUUUAUCAUUGUCAGUCAUACUAUAUUUUUUAAACCAUGUUGAUGUGGAAUAUAACAAGUGUAGAUAGUAGUGAAUAAGAAGUUUUGAGACUAAUCACAAAUUGCUACAUCACUUAUUAAAAUAAUGAUGAAAAGUGCAAAUAAUUAAAUUUGAGACUAAUUAAAAUUGACAUGUGCCCCAAAUUAAAGAAUUGAAAACAUAAAUUGGCCAAUUCUAAUAAUGGCACAUGUUUUCAUCUUAACUAUUGGAUUAAGAUAAUCAUUUUGGUUCAAUUAAAUAUUAUUUACUUGGACUAAGUUCAAUUAAGCCUAAAAAUAAGUUUAAUUGAGCCCAAAAACUAAAUAUUACCCAAAUCCAUGUGAUUGAGCCCAAGAGUCUGGUUCAUGGACCAACCAAGCUCAAGCCUAUAAAGCCCACCAGUGAACUCUAUAAAUAGAGAAGUUCUUAUUUGAAAAAGUUGGAAAUUUUUUACUCCAGAAGGUCUAGAGAUAAUUCUCCCAAGAGACAGAAGACUCCUUAACUCCUGAAGUCGACUAACCUCAAAGAUUGAAGCUCAUUUGAAGAUACAAGCUUUCUUCUAAGACUCUAACUUCCCUCGAAGAUUGAAGCUCCUUUGAAGAUACAAACUUUCUUCCAAGACUCAAACUUCAAGAACAUCACAUGCUCCGCUUCCUCAAAUCAAGCGUAGACAUUCAGCUAACUUAAAGAACAUCGCGUGCUCCGCUUCCCUAAAUCAAGCAUAGACGUUUAAGAAACUUCAAGAACAUCACCUGCUCCGCUUCCUCCAAAUCAAGCGUAAGCAUCCAGUCGAGAGAGAAUCAGAUGAUCAAAUUCUAGAGAUCGAACCACAUCGCAUCAAAUCAACAAAAAUACAACAUCAACACUAGUUCAAUACCACGAAUCAAAUUUCUCCAAAAAUCUCGUGCGUACAGAUAAUAUAGAAGAUUCUCCUUUAGAUGUUUUUUAUUUUUAAAGUAACUUGGAAGACUUUUAAGUUCCUUUUGGAUACAGAUUGAGAGAAUUGAAUAUGACUUCGAAAUUGAUAAUACAAACAUCAUGUUAAUUGAGAUAUGCUUAUCUAAUUACCCUCGACUAUCUUACAUAUUUGGAGUGUCACACCUCAUUCUAGAGUCUCUCCUCACUAAGCCCAAGAUGGCGGCAUGAAGUCGACCGACAUCAUUCUCCUUCUAACAAUAUCUAUCGACCCUGCUUAACCUAAACUUAAAACUAUCUCUUUGUAAACACACACUGUGAAAAACAUCUAAAACCUAAAAAUAUAAAACUUCAUAACAUCUUUCCAAUGGACAACCUGUUUAAACAAGUCUUACAUAGACGUAAAUGAAAUUAGAAUCUCAAGAACACAAA
rnacentral:lncRNA from 1 species